CACGUAGGGCGCAAGCGUUGUCCGGAAUUAUUGGGCGUAAAGAGCUCGUAGGCGGUCUGUUGCGUCCGCUGUGAAAACUCGGGGCUUAACCCCGAGCCUGCAGUGGAUACGGGCAGACUAGAGUGAUGUAGGGGAGACUGGAAUUCCUGGUGUAGCGGUGAAAUGCGCAGAUAUCGGGAAGAACACCCGUGGCGAAGGCGGCACUCUGGGACGGUACUGACGCUGAGACGCGAAAGCGUGGGGAGCGAACAGG
rnacentral:rRNA from 1 species